GCUGAUGUAGCUCAGUAGGUAGAGCGCAUCCUUGGUAAGGAUGAGGUCCCCGGUUCGAAUCCGGGCAUCAGCUCCA
rnacentral:tRNA from 1 species